rnacentral:rRNA from 1 species
UUGGCUUAGAAGCAGCCAUCAUUUAAAGAAAGCGUAAUAGCUCACUGGUCGAGUCGGCCUGCGCGGAAGAUGUAACGGGGCUAAACCAUGCACCGAAGCUGCGGCAGCGACACUAUGUGUUGUUGGGUAGGGGAGCGUUCUGUAAGCCUGUGAAGGUGGCCUGUGAGGGUUGCUGGAGGUAUCAGAAGUGCGAAUGCUGACAUAAGUAACGAUAAAGCGGGUGAAAAGCCCGCUCGCCGGAAGACCAAGGGUUCCUGUCCAACGUUAAUCGGGGCAGGGUGAGUCGACCCCUAAGGCGAGGCCGAAAGGCGUAGUCGAUGGGAAACAGGUUAAUAUUCCUGUACUUGGUGUUACUGCGAAGGGGGGACGGAGAAGGCUAUGUUGGCCGGGCGACGGUUGUCCCGGUUUAAGCGUGUAGGCUGGUUUUCCAGGCAAAUCCGGAAAACCAAGGCUGAGGCGUGAUGACGAGGCACUACGGUGCUGAAGCGACAAAUGCCCUGCUUCCAGGAAAAGCCUCUAAGCAUCAGGUAACAUCAAAUCGUACCCCAAACCGACACAGGUGGUCAGGUAGAGAAUACCAAGGCGCUUGAGAGAACUCGGGUGAAGGAACUAGGCAAAAUGGUGCCGUAACUUCGGGAGAAGGCACGCUGAUAUGUAGGUGAAGCGACUUGCUCGUGGAGCUGAAAUCAGUCGAAGAUACCAGCUGGCUGCAACUGUUUAUUAAAAACACAGCACUGUGCAAACACGAAAGUGGACGUAUACGGUGUGACGCCUGCCCGGUGCCGGAAGGUUAAUUGAUGGGGUUAGCGGUAACGCGAAGCUCUUGAUCGAAGCCCCGGUAAACGGCGGCCGUAACUAUAACGGUCCUAAGGUAGCGAAAUUCCUUGUCGGGUAAGUUCCGACCUGCACGAAUGGCGUAAUGAUGGCCAGGCUGUCUCCACCCGAGACUCAGUGAAAUUGAACUCGCUGUGAAGAUGCAGUGUACCCGCGGCAAGACGGAAAGACCCCGUGAACCUUUACUAUAGCUUGACACUGAACAUUGAGCCUUGAUGUGUAGGAUAGGUGGGAGGCUUUGAAGUGUGGACGCCAGUCUGCAUGGAGCCGACCUUGAAAUACCACCCUUUAAUGUUUGAUGUUCUAACGUGGGCCCCUAAUCGGGGUUGCGGACAGUGUCUGGUGGGUAGUUUGACUGGGGCGGUCUCCUCCUAAAGAGUAACGGAGGAGCACGAAGGUUGGCUAAUCCUGGUCGGACAUCAGGAGGUUAGUGC